AGUGAUCGCUGGCGGCAUGCCUUACACAUGCAAGUCGAACGGCAGCGGGGGAGAAGCUUGCUUUUCCUGCCGGCGAGUGGCGAACGGGUGAGUAAUACAUCGGAACGUGCCCUGUAGUGGGGGAUAACUAGUCGAAAGAUUAGCUAAUACCGCAUACGACCUGAGGGUGAAAGUGGGGGACCGCAAGGCCUCAUGCUAUAGGAGCGGCCGAUGUCUGAUUAGCUAGUUGGUGGGGUAAAGGCCUACCAAGGCGACGAUCAGUAGCUGGUCUGAGCAGACGAUCAGCCACGGUGAGAAGACGACACGGCCCAGUCUCCUACGGGAGGCAGCAGUGGGGAAUUUUGGACAAUGGGCGAAAGCCUGAUCCAGCAAUGCCUCGUGUGUGAAGAAGGCAUUCGGGUUGUAAAGCACUUUUGUCCGGAAAGAAAGGGCUCUGGUUAAUACCUGGGGUCGAUGACGGUACCGGAAGAAUAAGGACCGGCUAACUACGUGCCAGCCGCCGCCGUAA
rnacentral:rRNA from 1 species